GACGAACGCUGGCGGCGUGCUUAACACAUGCAAGUCGAACGAUGAAGAAGAGCUUGCUCUUCGGAUUAGUGGCGAACGGGUGAGUAACACGUGACUAACCUGCCCCUUUCUCUGGGAUAACGCUCCGAAAGGAGUGCUAAUACCGGAUACUCACAUCGAGGCACAUGCCUUGAUGUGGAAAGUUUUUCGGAAAGGGAUGGAGUCGCGGCCUAUCAGCUUGUUGGUGAGGUAACGGCUCACCAAGGCGACGACGGGUAGCCGGCCUGAGAGGGCGACCGGCCACACUGGGACUGAGACACGGCCCAGACUCCUACGGGAGGCAGCAGUGGGGAAUAUUGCACAAUGGGCGAAAGCCUGAUGCAGCGACGCCGCGUGAGGGAUGAAGGUCUUCGGAUUGUAAACCUCUUUCAGUAGGGACGAAGCGAAAGUGACGGUACCUAGAGAAGAAGCACCGGCUAACUACGUGCCAGCAGCCGCCGUAA
rnacentral:rRNA from 1 species